CCUACGGGUGGCAGCAGUCGAGAAUCAUUCACAAUGGGGGAAACCCUGAUGGUGCGACGCCGCGUGGGGGAAUGAAGGUCUUCGGAUUGUAAACCCCUGUCAUGUGGGAGCAAAUUAAAAAGAUAGUACCACAAGAGGAAGAGACGACUAACUCUGUGCCAGCAGCCGCGGUAAUACAGAGGUCUCAAGCGUUGUUCGGAAUCACUGGGCGGAAAGCGUGCGUAGGCUGUUUCGUAAGUCGUGUGUGAAAGGCGCGGGCUCAACCCGCGGACGGCACAUGAUACUGCGAGACUAGAGUAAUGGAGGGGGAAGCGGAAUUCUCGGUGUAGCAGUGAAAUGCGUAGAUAUAGAGAGGAACACUCGUGGCGAAGGCGGGUUCCUGGACAUUAACUGACGCUGAGGCACGAAGGCCAGGGGAGCGAAAGGGAUUAGAUACCCCUGUAGUC
rnacentral:rRNA from 1 species